rnacentral:rRNA from 1 species
UACGGAGGGUGCGAGCGUUGUCCGGAAUCACUGGGCGUAAAGGGCGCGUAGGCGGCGCGACAAGGCGGCGGUGAAAGUCCGGGGCUCAACCCCGGAUCGGCCGUGGCGACUGUCGCGCUGGAGCACAGUAGAGGCGGGGGGAAUUCCGGGUGUAGCGGUGGAAUGCGUAGAGAUCCGGAAGAACACCGGUGGCGAAGGCGGCCCGCUGGGCUGUGGCUGACGCUGAGGCGCGACAGCGUGGGGAGCAAACAGG